rnacentral:tRNA from 1 species
GCGGGUGUAGUUCAAUGGUAGAACAUCAGCUUCCCAAGCUGGUAGUGAGGGUUCGAUUCCCUUCACCCGCU